CUCGUAGGCGGUUUGUCGCGUCGGGAGUGAAAACCAGGUGCUUAACACCUGGCUUGCUUUCGAUACGGGCAGACUAGAGGUAUGCAGGGGAGAACGGAAUUCCUGGUGUAGCGGUGAAAUGCGCAGAUAUCAGGAGGAACACCGGUGGCGAAGGCGGUUCUCUGGGCAUGACCUGACGCUGAGGAGCGAAAGUGUGGGGAGCGAACA
rnacentral:rRNA from 1 species